UCAUAUGAUAUUGUCGAGUGAAAAACUUCCAGAUAGAUGGGUUUCAAAUCCAAUUUUACGCCUAGUCAAUAGAUGGACGACACGUAAGCACUUCAAAAAAAUGAAAGUCAAACCUGCGUCCACCCAAUUUCGCUCUCCCUCCCUCUGAAUCUCUCUUCCUAACCCAUCUCUGCACUCAAACUUUUCUCAAAAAAAUAAAAAAACCCCUCCACGACUCACAAUGACGAACCAAGUAAAAGGAAUACUCAUGCCGGAACGCCCACCACGACUCACAACGGAAGCCCCACUAGACGCGACGCCCACCACCAGCACCCGUCUUCAAAGCCGACAAAAUGUAAACUCUGAGAAAAUGGGGGCAUUGUUUGAAUUUCGAUUUCCUUUUUUAUUCAUUUUCCUCUCUGUUAAUUAGCUUUCUAUCUCAACUGGGUUUCUGGUAUUCCUCCCUAGUAGCAAUAUGGAAAGUAGUGGAGAAGACACAAUAUCUAGCUUACAGUCUAUGAGAGCAGGAGAUGAUGUGAUAUCAGGACAAAAACCGAUAUGUUAUUGCGGUAUUUUCUCAAAAAAUGAGGACGUCGGGCAACCCAAGAAGUUUUGGUUGGCGAUUUUUCAAUUGUCCAAAUUAUAAGGAUAAAAAACAGUGUGAUUUUUUCGAAUGGGUUGAUCUUGUAAUGGAACAACCAGAUUGUUGUAAAUGAACAUUGGAAUUAACACAAUGAAGAAAUGAGAGAAUAGCAGUUGAAUGUGCAAGAAUUGAACACAUAAAAUUCCAAUCGGUGAAGAAGAAGUACAAAUGUGUCUUGAUUG